GGCGUGAUGACGGAGUGGUUAUCGUGCAAGUUGGUGUUUGCUGCUCCUUUGUAAACUGAAUGCGAACUAAUGAACGAAAGGCCUGCUAAGCUUGUUCCUUCGGGAGCGCAAGUUCGAAUCUUGCUCACGUCG